AACGAACGCUGGCGGCAUGCCUAACACAUGCAAGUCGAACGAGACCUUCGGGUCUAGUGGCGCACGGGUGCGUAACGCGUGGGAACCUGCCCUUAGGUUCGGAAUAACUCCCCGAAAGGGGUGCUAAUACCGGAUAAUGUCUUCGGACCAAAGAUUUAUCGCCUUUGGAUGGGCCCGCGUUGGAUUAGCUAGUUGGUAGGGUAAAAGCCUACCAAGGCGACGAUCCAUAGCUGGUCUGAGAGGAUGAUCAGCCACACUGGGACUGAGACACGGCCCAGACUCCUACGGGAGGCAGCAGUGGGGAAUAUUGGACAAUGGGCGAAAGCCUGAUCCAGCAAUGCCGCGUGAGUGAUGAAGGCCUUAGGGUUGUAAAGCUCUUUUACCCGGGAUGAUAAUGACAGUACCGGGAGAAUUAGCUCCGGCUAACUCCGUG
rnacentral:rRNA from 1 species